AUGCCCUACGGGACGCAGCAGUGAGGAAUAUUGGUCAAUGGGCGCGAGCCUGAACCAGCCAAGUCGCGUGAGGGAAGACGGUCCUAUGGAUUGUAAACCUCUUUUGUCGGGGAGCAAAAGACGCCACGCGUGGCGUUCCGAGAGUACCCGAAGAAAAAGCAUCGGCUAACUCCGUGCCAGCAGCCGCGGUAAUACGGAGGAUGCGCGCGUUAUCCGGAUUUAUUGGGUUUUAAGGGUGCUCAGGCGGAAGCUCAAGUCAGCGGUAAAAU
rnacentral:rRNA from 1 species